GAUGAACGCUGGCGGCGUGCUUAACACAUGCAAGUCGAACGAUGAAGCCCAGCUUGCUGGGUGGAUUAGUGGCGAACGGGUGAGUAACACGUGAGUAACCUGCCCUUAACUUUGGGAUAAGCCUGGGAAAAUGGGGCUAAUACCGGGAAGGAGCGUCCACCGCCAGGGGGGUGUUGGGAAGAUUUAUCGGUUUUGGGUGGACUCGCGGCCUAUCAGCUUGUUGGUGGGGUAAUGGCUCACCAAGGCGACGACGGGUAGCCGGCCUGAGAGGGUGACCGGCCACACUGGGACUGAGACACGGCCCAGACUCCUACGGGAGGCAGCAGUGGGGAAUAUUGCACAAUGGGCGCAAGCCUGAUGCAGCGACGCCGCGUGAGGGAUGACGGCCUUCGGGUUGUAAACCUCUUUCAGUAGGGAAGAAGCGAAAGUGACGGUACCUGCAGAAGAAGCACCGGCUAACUACGUG
rnacentral:rRNA from 1 species